rnacentral:rRNA from 1 species
AGCAGCCGCCGCGGGAAAACGUAGGUGGCAAGCGUUGUCCGGAUUUAUUGGGCGUAAAGCGAGCGCAGGCGGUUUCUUAAGUCUGAUGUGAAAGCCCCCGGCUCAACCGGGGAGGGUCAUUGGAAACUGGGAGACUUGAGUGCAGAAGAGGAGAGUGGAAUUCCAUGUGUAGCGGUGAAAUGCGUAGAUAUAUGGAGGAACACCAGUGGCGAAGGCGGCUCUCUGGUCUGUAACUGACGCUGAGGUGCGAAAGCGUGGGGAGCAAACAGGAUUAGAUACCCCAGUAGUCCCUGUCUCUUAUAA